rnacentral:lncRNA from 1 species
GUCUAUGACCCCUGUGUUAUUGCUGUACCAAUCCACCAGGUCUAUGACCCCUGUGUUAUUGCUGUACCAGUCCACCACUCUAGGUCUAUGACCCCUGUGUUAUUACUGUACCAAUCCACCAGGUCUAUGACCCCUGUGUUAUUGCUGUACCAAUCCACCAGGUCUAUGACCCCUGUGUUAUUGCUGUACCAGUCCACCCCUCUAGGUCUAUGACCACUCUAGGUCUAUGACCCCUGUGUUAUUGUCGUACCAAUCCACCACUCUAGGUCUAUGACCCCUGUGUUAUUGCUGUACCAAUCCACCACUCUAGGUCUAUGACCCCUGUGUUAUUGUCGUACCAAUCCACCACUCUAGGUCUAUGACCCCUGUGUUAUUGCUGUACCAAUCCACCAGGUCUAUGACCCCUGUGUUAUUGCUGUACCAGUCCACCAGGUCUAUGACCCCUGUGUUAUUGCUGUACCAAUCCACCAGGUCUAUGACCCCUGUGUUAUUGCUGUACCAGUCCACCAGGUCUAUGACCCCUGUGUUAUUGCUGUACCAAUCCACCAGGUCUAUGACCCAGCCCUUUAUAAUGGUAGAAAGGCUCCACUUUCUUCAGAUGGGAAUCUGUUUUUUUCAACCUGACCAAAUUCACAUAGAAAUGUGAGUUAUAGAUCAGUCAUUCUCAUCGAAAGCCAGUCUUAAGAAGCGGUAGAUCUGUUCUUAUUUCUAUGCUUCCCGUUCUUUUUAUGUUUUGUUUUUUUGCGUCUUUUACUUUCGGUUUUGUACACCAACUUCAAACAGCUGAAAAUACAAUAUUUUUGGGGGUUUAUUGAAGAGAUAUUCCACAGCAGUUUAGAUGGUACAAGGAUUCUCUACUCUAUACUGUCACGUCCUGACCAGUAAUAGGGGUUAUUUGCUAUUGUAGUUUGGUCAGGACGUGGCAGAAGGGUAUUUGUUUUAUGUGGUUCGGGGUGGUGGUUUGUUUAGUAGGGUAUUUGAUUUAUGUAAACCCGGGGGUGUUUUUGGGCACUGUUCUAUGUUAGUGUAUUUCUAUGUUCUGUCUAGUCUUUUGUAUUUCUAAUGUUUUGUUAAUUGGGGUGUUGGACUCUCAAUUGGAGGCAGGUUGUUUUCUAGUUGCCUCCGAUUGAGAGUCCUAUAUAUAUAUGUGUGUGUUUGUUGAGUGCUUGGUGGGAGAUUGUUCUGUGUAUAGCCUUGUGCCUUACCAACCUGUGAAUAGUCGUUGUGGUUUCUUUGUGUACGUGUUUAUUUUGGGUCUCCUUCUUGUCCGAUUUUAAAAUAAAAGCUG